UCGCUGUGAUGAUGUCAUUUCCUGCCAUUCGUAGUUUCCACCAGAGGUCACAUGACCAAAGAUGGUUCAAAGCUUCCUUGGAUGUCUGAGCGA
rfam:Tetraodon nigroviridis, WGS project CAAE01000000 data, contig: CNS0BTAK, chromosome: undetermined